rnacentral:lncRNA from 1 species
CACCAGAUCCCUCGCCAGAGCCCCCCGUGCUGAAGCUUCAACGAUCGCGACCCGACUGACCCGCGGCGCCCGUAGACGUCGGGCUUCUUCACGCCCAGUCGACGCCGCGACCCAUCUGCUCCCACGGUUCCGUCAGUCGACGCCGCGACCCGUCUACUCCCGUGGCCUCGCCAAUCGACGCCGCGACCGGACGACCCGCGAU